UUGACCUCAAAUCAGGUAGGACUACCCGCUGAACUUAAGCAUAUCAAUAAGCGGAGGAAAAGAAACUAACAAGGAUUCCCCUAGUAACUGCGAGUGAAGCGGGAAAAGCUCAAAUUUGAAAUCUGGCAGUUCUUUACUGUCCGAGUUGUAAUCUAGAGAAGUGUUACCUGUGCUGGACCGUGUACAAGUCUUCUGGAAUGGAGCAUCAUAGAGGGUGAGAAUCCCGUCUUUGACAYGGACUACCUGUACAUUAUGGUGCGCUCUCAAAGAGUCGAGUUGUUUGGGAAUGCAGCUCAAAAUGGGUGGUAAAUGCCAUCUAAAGCUAAAUAUUGGCGAGAGACCGAUAGCGAACAAGUACCGUGAGGGAAAGAUGAAAAGAACUUUGGAAAGAGAGUUAAACAGUACGUGAAAUUGCUGAAAGGGAAACGCUUGAAGUCAGUCGCGUUGGCUAGAAAUCAACCUGGCUUUUGCCUGGUGUACUUUCUGGUUGAUGGGUCAGCAUCAAUUUUGACCGCUGGAUAAAGUCACUGGGAAUGUAGCAUCUUUGGAUGUGUUAUAGCCCGUUGUCGCAUACAGUGGUUGGRAUUGAGGAACUCAGCACGCCGCAAGGCCGGGUUUUUAAACCACGUUCGUGCUUAGGAUGCUGGCAUAAUGGCUUUAAUCGACCCGUC
rnacentral:rRNA from 1 species